CCUACGGGGGGCAGCAGUGAGGAAUAUUGGUCAAUGGACGAGAGUCUGAACCAGCCAAGUAGCGUGAAGGAUGACUGCCCUAUGGGUUGUAAACUUCUUUUAUAUGGGAAUAAAAUGUUCCACGUGUGGGAUUUUGUAUGUACCAUAUGAAUAAGGAUCGGCUAACUCCGUGCCAGCAGCCGCGGUAAUACGGAGGAUCCGAGCGUUAUCCGGAUUUAUUGGGUUUAAAGGGAGCGUAGGUGGAUUGUUAAGUCAGUUGUGAAAGUUUGCGGCUCAACCGUAAAAUUGCAGUUGACACUGGCAGUCUUGAGUACAGUAGAGGUGGGCGGAAUUCGUGGUGUAGCGGUGAAAUGCUUAGAUAUCACGAAGAACUCCGAUUGCGAAGGCAGUUCACUGGACUGCAACUGACACUGAGGCUCGAAAGUGUGGGUAUCAAACAGGAUUAGAUACCCUUGUAGUC
rnacentral:rRNA from 1 species